GCCCUACUGGGCUACUGGCUAUCUUUAUGCUAGCUAGUGAAAGUCAAUUAGUACCUCAACCUGCUACAAGAUGAAGCUGCCCAGCCAGAGGUGUACCUGCUGCAGAAAGGUGAUAUUUCUACAUUACUUUUUGCAGCUAAUUUCACCAGAUCUUCUUGCUGCCUGAUGUUGGUGCUUAUUAACUGAGUAGGUUAAUAAUUAACUGCAGUUACUGUAAAUGGUUACCUGUCUGGGCCUUUAUAUGUAUUUCUUACACAUAAAACACAACAAUAUCCAGUUAAACUAUAGUCAAUGCUGAUAUUGUGUGUGUGGGUUCAUAAUAUGCCCGCAGGAGAAGAGCACAGUAUGGCAUCUGAACAGAUCAUCAUGAACUUCAUUCAGUUACAUCAGCCAAUGCAGACCAUUCCAACAGUCCAGUCACUCAGCCCUAUCCAGAAACUCUCAAGUUCACUCACUCAGUAGCCUGGGUGAUGGCACCUACAGGCCUGUUUGAGGGACAAUUGGACAGAACAUAUCAGAAUGCUUGGACCUCGGCUGAGACUCACCUCUCCUUCCCAGUCUUUCAAGGAAAGCACCUACUUUACACUUCCUGUUUGGCAUGAUGCUCUCUAGGUGUGUCUCUUUCAUGUUGUGUGGUACAUUACCUAUAGAUGACUCCUAGACACUUUCACAUAGUUUGUCUCUAAAUUGGUGUCCACAUCAGGCUAUUUACUUGUUACCUGUGUGUUAGAAUAAUGCGUCCCUUUCACAUAAUUUCAAUGAUUCCUCCACUGCCACAUGCUCUGUCUUUCUCGCCAUGAUACAUUAGGGGAAGUUGCUUUUCUGUUGGCACCAAUCCCACGCUGCCAGUAGUUUUUUUUGGCUCUGUGUAAAACAAAAUAAAACAUACCAUUCCAUCUCUUAAUUUCAACAAUGUGUACAAAUGUGGUAUGUUUGGUAUUUUUUGGUAGUAAAUCUCGCUCAUUUGUGCCUCUGUUUCAGAAACUCAGUCAUAUUUUUACACCUAUUUUCAACUUCAGUACCAAAAUGUUCUGGCUGAUCCCAUAGGAUACGUGUGCAAUGCUAAAAGUAGGGCUUAGGUUUGAAAGCUCUUGUAUGGUGUUUAUCAUUAGAAAUUUGGUUGGCACUAUGCUGGUCCAAAGGUUCCAUGGCCACAAUAAAGCUAGAUUAUGAUUCAGAAUGUCAUGGGAAUUUUCUACCAGAAUAUUUUUGACCAGGAUAACAGAGGACCUACUGCCAAAUGCCUCUGGAUUUUCAGAUUGAUACAGAGAAGAUAAUGUCUCAACACUCCCCAGCCAAUCAGUGUUUGCAACUCGGUAGCAUUGGAAAUGACACCCUUCAAGUAUGGAG
rnacentral:lncRNA from 1 species